CCUAUCAUCCCUUGCCGCCUCAUCUCCCGCCGCCAUCGCCGAUGAUACCCCGACGGCGUAUGAGGUCCUCGCGGGAUACAAUUUCCCAAUUGGUAUCCUCCCUAAGGGCGCGACAGGGUACGAAUUAGACACUAGCACGGGUAAAUUCCUCGCCUAUUUGAACGGUUCGUGCAGCUUCGCUCUGGAAGGUUCCUAUCAGCUGAAAUACAAAUCAACAAUCAGUGGUUACAUAAGCCAAAACAAGCUCACAAAGCUGACUGGCAUAAGCGUGAAAGUGCUUUUCUUGUGGUUGAAUAUUGUGGAGGUGGUUAGAAAUGGAGAUGAUCUUGGAUUUUCCGUUGGG
rnacentral:misc_RNA from 1 species